AGCCUUUUGGGAAUGAGAGGAAGAAGACAGCAGAGCAGUGACUCCCAGCCAUCUCCCCCUCGGCUCGCAGCCACAGCCAGCUGUGCUCCAAGGGUGGAAGCUCUCCACGAACCCAUGUCCAGCACUGCUGAGCCACAGUACAGAAUUUAAAAAGACGAGGGUCUCCCAGUGCAUGCAGGAAUGCAGCUCCAGGAGUGUGCUCCAGCUCUGGAUUUUCACCUCUGCUUUGGAGCAGGAUGUGACCCACAGGAGACCUUCCUUGGGAAGGGGAGUGCAGUCGUAGCAGGCAGAAGAGUAGGAUGGAGCACUGACAGGAGCUGGGGCAGACCUUUCCCACCCUGCAGGUUUGAUUUUGGGCACUCCCAAUGAAGCAUCCUGAUCUCAGGAGGGCACUCUGCACUUGAGGAAUAGAAAUGUCAAAGCAACCGGUUUGGAGUGGAAGCCGUCAAGAAGAGCAUCCUCAUCAGCCUGGAAUACUGCAUCCCAUUUGGAACUUUCCUGCAAUUCUCCAUGGGGAACACAAGGAGCUUCCAGCAAGGGCUCCAAAAUAUCCACUGGCAAAUGCCCAACCAUUCAGGAAGUUUAAGACUCACAGUCCCAGAUGAGUAACUUAAUUAUUGAACAAACUUUACAGAGUGCUAAAGAUUCCCUGUGCAAUCACUGGGAUCAUGGGGGCCAGGCUGGGUCAGCUCAUCCCAGAGUCUUUAGGGUUACCAUGUAGGAAACAUCCCUGUCCUUCACCACUUCCCAAAGCUUCAGCAAGUUGUGCUCCAAGUGUGGCUACUAAACCCAGUGUAGUCUUGGAAAUAUUCCCAAAACAUCCAUCUCAGUGACAAUUAGGUAAGAAAUAUGUUAUCAGUUCAGAGUUUUUCCAGUAACUUUCUACUUAAUCUUUGGAAUGUCACUAUUCAAAGUGAGAGGAUCACAGAUUUAACUGGGAUGGAAACAAAUGCAUACACCCAAUAUAAUUUGACUUUAAGGAACGAUCCCAGUAUUUAAAACCUAUCAGUUUUGCCUUCCACCUCAGUUAUUAAUAGCAUAGGUGAAAAAGCAAUUAGCCACUUCUCUCGGGAUGACCCAAAGCUGCUGGAGUUGUGUGGGGCUCUGGAAGGGUAUCUGGGCACCUGCAGGUCAGAACAUU
rnacentral:lncRNA from 1 species